rnacentral:rRNA from 1 species
UACGUAGGGUGCAAGCGUUUGUCCGGAAUUAUUGGGCGUAAAGAGCUCGUAGGCGGUCUGUCGCGUCCGUUGUGAAAACUCGAGGCUCAACCUCGGGCUUGCAGUGGAUACGGGCAGACUAGAGUGCGGUAUGGGAGACUGGAAUUCCUGGUGUAGCGGUGGAAUGCGCAGAUAUCAGGAGGAACACCGAUGGCGAAGGCAGGUCUCUGGGCCGCAACUGACGCUGAGGAGCGAAAGCAUGGGGAGCGAACAGG